UGCCAGCAGCCGCGGUAAUACUGAAGGUGCAAGCGUUAAUCGGAAUUACUGGGCGUAAAGCGCGCGUAGGCGGCUUGGUCAGUCAGAUGUGAAAGCCCCGGGCUCAACCUGGGAACUGCAUUUGAUACUGCCAAGCUAGAGUAUGGGAGAGGGUUGUGGAAUUCCAAGUGUAGCGGUGAAAUGCGUAGAUAUUUGGAGGAACAUCAGUGGCGAAGGCGGCAGCCUGGCCCAAUACUGACGCUGAGGUGCGAAAGCGUGGGGAGCAAACAGGAUUAGAUA
rnacentral:rRNA from 1 species